GACGAACGCUGGCGGCGUGCUUAACACAUGCAAGUCGAACGGUGAAGCGCCUUCCUUUUUGGUGGGUGUGGAUGAGUGGCGAAGGGGUGAGUAACACGUGAGUAUCCUGCCCCCUUCUUCUGGAUAACCGCAUGACAGUGUGGCUACUACGGGAUAUUCUGGGUCUGUCGCAUGAUGGGUCUGGGACAGAUUUUGUUUCGGUGGGGGAUGGGCUCGCGGCCUAUCAGCUUGUUGGUGGGGUGAUGGCCUACCAAGGCGGUGACGGGUAGCCGGCCUGAGAGGGUGGACGGUCACAGAGGGGCGAAGACACGGCGAAGACUACGACGGGCAGCAGCAGGGAAGAAUACGGCACGAGGGGCGGAAUGAUGAUGCAGCGACGCGGCGGGAAGGAUGGACGUCGUCGGGUUAUAAACCUCUUUCGGGAAAGAAGCAGGCCGGCCGCGUUUGUGGGUGGGUUGACGGUACCUGGACAAAAAGCGCCGGCUAACUACGUG
rnacentral:rRNA from 1 species